rnacentral:lncRNA from 1 species
GUUUCAUUGGCAGGCUACAAUAAUGGGGCCAAAUGACAGCCCCUAUCAGGGUGGAGUAUUUUUCUUGACAAUUCAUUUCCCAACAGAUUACCCCUUCAAACCGCCUAAGGUUGCAUUUACAACAAGAAUUUAUCACCCAAAUAUUAACAGUAAUGGCAGCAUUUGUCUUGAUAUUCUACGGUCACAGUGGUCUCCAGCACUAACUAUUUCAAAAGUACUUUUGUCCAUCUGUUCUCUGUUGUGUGAUCCCAAUCCAGAUGAUCCUUUAGUGCCUGAGAUUGCUCGGAUCUACAAAACAGAUAGAGAAAAAGUAAAGACAUUUCCACGUGGACACCUGAUCAUGUGCCUACCCUGACUG